rnacentral:rRNA from 1 species
UACGUAGGGUGCAAGCGUUGUCCGGAAUUAUUGGGCGUAAAGAGCUCGUAGGCGGUUUGUUGCGUCGGCUGUGAAAUCCCGAGGCUCAACCUCGGGCCUGCAGUCGAUACGAGCAAACUAGAGUGUUGCAGGGGAGACUGGAAUUCCUGGUGUAGCGGUGAAAUGCGCAGAUAUCAGGAGGAACACCGGUGGCGAAGGCGGGUCUCUGGGCAACAACUGACGCUGGAGGAGCGAAAGCGUGGGGAGCGAACAGG